rnacentral:rRNA from 1 species
GUGGGGAAUCUUAGACAAUGGGGGCAACCCUGAUCUAGCCAUGCCGCGUGAGUGAUGAAGGCCUUAGGGUCGUAAAGCUCUUUCGCUGGGGAAGAUAAUGACGGUACCCAGUAAAGAAACCCCGACUAACUCCGUGCCAGCAGCCGCGGUAAUACGGAGGGGGUUAGCGUUGUUCGGAAUUACUGGGCGUAAAGCGCGCGUAGGCGGAUUGGAAAGUUGGGGGUGAAAUCCCGGGGCUCAACCCUGGAAUGGCCUUCAAAACUCCCAGUCUUGAGGUCGAGAGAGGUGAGUGGAAUUCCGAGUGUAGAGGUGAAAUUCGUAGAUAUUCGGAGGAACACCAGUGGCGAAGGCGGCUCACUGGCUCGAUACUGACGCUGAGGUGCGAAAGCGUGGGGAGCAAACAGGAUUAGAAACCCUUGUAGUCC